GUGGGGAAUUUUGGACAAUGGGCGCAAGCCUGAUCCAGUAAUGCCGCGUGCAGGAAGAAGGCCUUCGGGUUGUAAACUGCUUUUGUACGGAACGAAACGGUCCGGGUUAAUACCCUGGGCUAAUGACGGUACCGUAAGAAUAAGCACCGGCUAACUACGUGCCAGCAGCCGCGGUAAUACGUAGGGUGCAAGCGUUAAUCGGAAUUACUGGGCGUAAAGCGUGCGCAGGCGGUUUUGUAAGACAGGCGUGAAAUCCCCGGGCUCAACCUGGGAAUUGCGCUUGUGACUGCAAGGCUGGAGUGCGGCAGAGGGGGAUGGAAUUCCGCGUGUAGCAGUGAAAUGCGUAGAUAUGCGGAGGAACACCGAUGGCGAAGGCAAUCCCCUGGGCCUGCACUGACGCUCAUGCACGAAAGCGUGGGGAGCAAACAGGAUUAGAAACCCUUGUAGUCC
rnacentral:rRNA from 1 species